GUGUUCGGGCUGACGGGAGAGAAGACGGUCAUUUAGAGGAGUGGCAUGGAAUUCACUUGAGAAGUGUAGCAGGACUAGGGCUUGGUUUCAGGAAUUUGUUGAAGGAGGCCCCCCCCCCCGCCCCCAGGGGUGUGCUCCUGCCGCCUCGUGCCGCCGGGUGGGCGCAGGUGAGGGCGGGCAGCAAAAUUGCAUUCAACCAGCUUGGCGGUUAGGCGGGGGCGCAUGCGGAUGGGCGCGGGUGCAACGGGGUUGAGGCGGAGCCACUAAAAUGAUGGAGCCUAGAUUGAAGGUGCGGAAGGAGGGCAGGGACGGCAAGAGAGAUCAGCCGCCCUGAAGGUGUGGCAACGAUGGACACAUGGUCCACCCUCGUGAAAUCCACAGCCUUGGAGUUCCCUGUGUGAAUAAUCCUAAGAGCUAUAAGGUAAAUGUGGUGGCGCUUUGAGAACAUGUGAAAGGGAGGCCAGCUCUUGUCAAGGCUGGGGAGCUUGCCUGCUCCUUCCUUUCUGUUGGGAACCUGGUCAUGAGUCCAGGCUCCAAAGAUACGUGCAGAUGUGUGGGAAUCCAUGCUGGUGCCACACACCAUGCUGGUCUUGAUCGCUGUUGCUACAGAUCCAGAAGAAAGGAUGAUGAGGCCAGGAGGAGCACUGGUGCUUAAGCCAAGGUCAAGUUGUCCUCACGCGUUGCUGGGGAGGCACGUCUCCAUUUCACCCACCAGGAAGGGAGCUCUGAGACUGCCUGUGUUACAUGAUCUUUGUUUUUGUGGUCGUUCUUGAUUUUGCUUUUUAGGGUUGCACCCGCAACGUAUGGAGGUUUCCAGGCGAGGUGUCUAAUCAGAGCUGCAGCUGCCAGCCUAUGCCACAGCCACAGCAACGUGGGAUCCAAGCCAUGUCUUGCAACCUAUACCACAGCUCAUGGCAAGGCCAGAUCCUUAAUCCAUAGAGCAAGGCCAGGGUUCAAACCUGCAUCCUCACGGAUACUAGUUGGGGUUUUAACCUGCUGAGACGUAAUGGGAACUCCCUGUAUUGCUUGGUCUUGAGCUCUGUGUUCAUUUCUGCACAGCAGAGACAGUAAGAAUCUUUACCUCACAGGGGCCAUGAGAAUUAAACGGGAUAACAUGUGCAGGUGGCCGGCCGCAGGGCUCAUUGGCAGGGCCUGAGGCAUACUUUCGUGUUUCCUCCAGGACAUGCGCUCCACACAACUUAGGCACCAUGUGGCAUGGGCUGGGCUUCAGCCAGGUGUGUGUGACUCCCAGCCUGGACACCCGUCAUCCCCACUAUACCAGGAUCCCUGGUGGGAAGGUCUAGGAGACCUUAACUUUAUGCCUUGAAUUUGAACUUCAUUUGGGAGAUGCUGGGGAUCCACUCAGGCUCUUUGAGCUGGGGGGCAUGUGACAAAGCUGCUUUUAGGUGAUGAAUGAUGGGGAUAAAUAAGGUGCUUGAAGAGGGGCUGAGACCUAGAGGUCAAGAGAUUCUUUUACGUUGGCUGCUCUGUGAAUUCCACUCUAGGCGAAUGCUCCACUCCUGAACCGAGGCAGAGAAGGCUGGGAAGGACAGAUAGGACAGUGGUCAUCUUCCCACCCAAGCGUUUCAUGGUUGUGUAAUUUAGUCCCGGUUCUAGCUGAAUUUAUGGGAUGCAUCUGCUGCCCCCACAGCAUCUGCCUCCGUGUCGCAUGCUGCCAUGCCGGCUGGUGAUGACCCCCUCUCACCCUUUGAAGAAGGCAGUGGCUUCAGAUGCCCAAUUUAAAUGGCUACCACCCAACAUUAAAGUGGUAGUCACGCUGCCAGUCAUCCAUCAGGAGUAAUGUUGUAUUUGCUCUUCAUGGUGGGAACUUUCCAGCUAUUACCUCUCAUUCUCUCAGCAACCCUGAAAACUGGGUAUUAUCAUUUGUGCUUUAUAGAAAAGGAAGCUGAAGCCCCGAGGUUCCUUUAAACAACAUGCCGAGGAAACACAGUUUACUAAGUGAAAGAUGUAGACAAGGAACCUAGCCUGCUCAGAGGGUGAAACCUGUUGCUUUCUUCUAAAUCUCUUUUUGUAGAUGAUCUGUUUUUCCAGAUGAGGAAACUGAGGCUGAAAAGAGCUGGGUGAAUUGCCCACAAUCAUGCAGCUAGUACAAUAGCUAAAGAACAGCUAAUUACAGAAUGUUUACUCUGGCCCAGGCAGUGGGCCAUUAAAUGAGACAGUGACUAUCUCAUUUAAUCCACAUAACAGCUGGUCUUAUGUCACAAACAAAUGCCAGAACUGGCAUUUGUGAUCAGGUCUACUCGCCUUUGGAGUUUUCAACUACCGGAUUCUGCUGUAAGGAGACUGCUAGGGGUUGAUAUAAAUCCCAAGACUUCAAAGGAGGAAAGGUCAUGGUGGCUAAGAAGAUACCUAAUCAGAAUAUCUGGGGGUGAAGCUGCUGCAAGCCACCUCUGUCUCUGAAUGCAGUUCCUGUUUGUUCCUAAGUGAUGGAUGGAAGUCUGAGCACUGAGGAUCAGGAGGGUCCAGCUUUAUGUCAUGGGCAUUUGAGUGAAGGACACCAGUCACCCUCUGGUGAUCAAUGGAGGUGUAAAACCCCAAAGACAUCCAGGAUGGCUGAGAUCAGAUGGAUGAAUGCAGGCAUCCAUCUGGGAUCUUUCUUUCCAAGGAAAUUGAUGGAAGAUGUGUCAGGUUUAGCUCACAGCAUUCCAGCCGAAAGGGUCAGUUGUCCAAAACCUUAGAGUGUCCCUCACCCAGAGAUGACAGGCUGGGGGAAGGGUCCUGAUGGCCUCUGACCUAGUUCUGGAGACGAGGUGCUAUCUGCUCUGUAAAUAUCGCCGACAUUCCUGGGAGAUGAAAGACAGCUCCAGAGCAGUGUCGUAAGCCCCUCCAAACUCCAGACACGCGCUGGUCAUCCUGGCUCUCUCUUUAAGCAACACUGGAAAAUACAGGUACACAGCUGUGAAGGGUGGUGGGGGCUGGAAGGCAGCAGUUUUAUCAGAAGCACAGUUCAUUUUCCCCAUGCAACCCCAGGAGGGUCAUUGCAUUGUUGAAUUGAAAUGAUAAUUAGAAAAUUCAUGGACUUGGGAGGAAAUUUUUGGAGUGCUUGUAUACCAGCAAACUCUUUUCUCUCUCCCAGUAGCCCAGUGAUAGGGGCAUUGUUAUUAUCCUUAUUUUUAUGAAGGAGGGGACUGUAGCCCAGAAAAGGUAAGUUGUGUGUCCUUAUGCCUCAGCUGCUAAGUGAUGGAGCAAGGUCUUGUGUCCAGGGCUCCUAACUCUAGCUCACAUUUUUCUUACCCUCUGGCUGCCUCCACCAUCCCUUGGGUCGAUAGACAGUUAUCCCAACUCUGCCUGGACAUCCAACACGGACCAUUCCAGGGUUGGAGAGCUAUCGUCUGGUGUUAAAAAUAACAGCGACCAGUUUUUGAGCCCUGCUAUGCACCAAACUGUAUUCUAAAGGUACGUUACGCCUGAUUCUCAGCUCCACUUCUUGUGGUUUAAACUGUGGGAUCUGAGUCUCAUAGAACACGAGUGACCUGCCCAAGGACACACAACCAGUAGGUAAGUCUUAUGUCAAACUCAUGACACCACACUUUCUUCUUAUAUUGAAUGGAAGUCAUCUCGGUACAUCAAUUUAAUGGAAUGUUAUGCAGACAUUAAAUUUUUCUUAAAAAAAAGAAAAAAUGCUAACUAAAACAAGCAAGAUAUGUCAACUAUACAUCAAUAAAAC
rnacentral:lncRNA from 1 species